ACGUACACUCCUGCGGGAGGCAGCAGUGGGGAAUAUUGGACAAUGGGCGCAAGCCUGAUCCAGCCAUGCCGCGUGAGUGAUGAAGGCCCUAGGGUUGUAAAGCUCUUUCACCGGUGAAGAUAAUGACGGUAACCGGAGAAGAAGCCCCGGCUAACUUCGUGCCAGCAGCCGCGGUAAUACGAAGGGGGCUAGCGUUGUUCGGAUUUACUGGGCGUAAAGCGCACGUAGGCGGACUAUUAAGUCAGGGGUGAAAUCCCGGGGCUCAACCCCGGAACUGCCUUUGAUACUGGUAGUCUUGAGUUCGAGAGAGGUGAGUGGAAUUCCGAGUGUAGAGGUGAAAUUCGUAGAUAGUCGGAGGAACACCAGUGGCGAAGGCGGCUCACUGGCUCGAUACUGACGCUGAGGUGCGAAAGCGUGGGGAGCAAACAGGAUUAGAUACCCCAGUAGUCCC
rnacentral:rRNA from 1 species